AUCUAGUUGACGAGUCCCAAAUAGGACCAAACACCCGUCCUGGAU
rfam:Schistosoma mattheei strain Denwood, Zambia genome assembly, scaffold: SMTD_contig0001241